rnacentral:lncRNA from 1 species
GGGCUUUGAGUGGAUUUUCUAUAGAGGCCGGACGUGUGUGUGGCUGUGAGCAACCAGCAAGGACCUUUUCUACCAUGUUCUCAACUAUAGUGAUCAUCGAUCCACACUCAAGUAUCAAGUUUUAAACUCAUAUUAGAAGUAGAUGUGAUCUACUACUCACAUGCAUGCAUGUUGAUUUUAUCAUCUGUGUUUUUUAGAUUUUAUAUGCAAGAUAACAUGUCAUAGAU